UUUUCUGCGUAUAAAACAAUAUAAAACAACAUGAGAGGGUCUCUCCUCUCAUGAGUUAAAAUGAGAGACACCUCCUAAUUACACUGUUCUUUCCCAAGAUUUUGGAAAAAUUUUCAACUAUCCACGAUCCCCAAACAUCAAUAUCAUCCUGGUUGGAUGAUCUAGGAUCACAGGGAGCAGAUGAUCUCCUUUUGAGCUCUUUGGACAUUCGGUAGCAUCCUAAUGCCUUCACAAUGUCUGCGCCACGCACCUCACUUUCUCUCAGCCCGCAGGAGGCAUCCUAUCAUUUCACAUCAUCCAAAAAAGGGUUUUUUCUACAAAUAAAAUGUAGUACAAUAUUUCUUACCAAUUCACCCAAGAAGCAUACUUUGUAAGAGGCACUGAACCAGGUAUAGAAAGACCUGAUUUUUGCGAUUCAAGAGCUCGUCCUCUGGUAAACCGAGUGCUAAGAAGUGCUGGCCGACUGCCCUGCAGGCUCAACAGGAAUACAGAGAACAGAGAAAUGGGGAAGGCGUCUGUGUUCGAAACCCAGGUCAGCUCAGCGGUCAAGCAAGUCGGAGUCAGAAAAAGUAAAGUGUUUAACAUCGAUUUUUCAA